GGGUACUGGGGAUCGAUCAAAGCAGGGAACCAAGGGUGAAACCCUUGUUCACCAAAUUCAACCAAAUUGGGUAGAAAAUUAGAAGAUAAUCAACUGCAUGAACUCGAAUCUACACCUAUCUAAGCUCGAUUUUGAAAAGGCGUAAAGGAAGAAGGACCCAAAACUAGGAAAUCGGAAGGUUCACAAGAUCGAGGUAAAACUCCACUUUAGGCGAAUUGGAGAUAUGGAGCGAGCACGUGUCCAUGCCUUAUUAUACCAAGCGCUUUCGCUAGAUAUAUGCACACUUUUUGGGUCCAUGUCUUGUUAAUUUGUUUAAUCUUGUUAGAAGUCAUACACUUAAAAACUUGUUGUCUUCGUUUUGGGAAGUUUAAAGUUAAAUGGGUCGUAGAUUGUCGUUAGUUUAAUAACUUAAAAACAGGGGGCAUGCUCGUUUUACGAACGGGUCAUGCCCAAUUUUUGUAAGGAUUUCGUUAUGUAUUAAGUUUUUGGUAUGUUGAUGUCUUUAAA